UACGGAGGAUCCGAGCGUUAUCCGGAUUUAUUGGGUUUAAAGGGUGCGCAGGUUGUUUGAUAAGUCAGUGGUGAAAGUCUGUCGCUUAACGGUAGGAUUGCCAUUGAUACUGUUAGACUUGAAUAUGGAUGAGGUAGGCGGAAUGUGUAGUGUAGCGGUGAAAUGCAUAGAUAUUACACAGAACACCGAUUGCGAAGGCAGCUUACUAAUCCAUCAUUGACGCUGAGGCACAAAAGACGUGGGGAGUCAAACAGGA
rnacentral:rRNA from 1 species